CAUGAAAUGCAAAUGCCAGUGCACUGGGGCAGCACGCUGCAGGUGGGAGCUUGCAGGCCUAUGAGCUGAAAUGUUCAUCGCAGCCUGGGCAGCCCCUCCAGGCCCGCAGCACAGGUCACCUGCUAUACUGACUAUAAAAAUGACCAUGGCUUCUACACCAAACCUCCUCAGUGUUGCCAGAGAAAGCAUUUCUUUUAAGCCUCUUUCCCUCCAUUAAAAAAUAAAACAACAGCAAACUCUUCAGGCAAUUACAACUUAGGAUGGAUCUAAAAUACCAAACUGAUGUGUCUGCUUUAUUCACCAUUACUCAAAACAGAUCUGCAGGGAGAGCAUACGCUGCUGCAGCUAACGUGGGCUGCCUUCUUUAUGUCAUGCACAAAGACCCGGCUGGUGGCCUGACCCAGUGUGGGUCACUGGGGAGUCAACCGACAUCAUGACAAUAACCACAAUAAAUGUAACAAUGCUUGUUGUUAUUACAACAGUCACAAUAGCUGCCGCUUAUUAGCACCGACCUAAGCCAACCCAGGGCUAGGCACUUCUGACACGUUAUUUUCCUUAAUCUGUUCACACCUUGAGAAAAGUAGUGUCAUCAUCCUUAUUUUAAAGAGUAAACUAAGGUUUACAGAGGCUACAUAACUCUCCAAGAUGUGAAAGCUAGUAAGAGCUAGCGCAGCGGGGAUUUAAACACAAAUUCAAAUCUCUAACCACCAAACCUGUUUCUCCAGGUGCCUGUGGACUAAGGAGGUUGGCUUGAGCAAUUCUACCCUCCUUGCACCAAAUCACCUCCAGCCCAAAUGGAUUGUGCUGGACGGAGAGUCACAACGAACAUAUGCCCAGUUCAGGACCAUCUGGUGUCAGUGGCAGGGCGCCGACUCCCAGACGAGACAAAAACUCGCAUUUCUUUGGGUUUGGGAUUGGAUGGGGUUUUUGUGACAUGGCUGUAUGGCUGUCAGUUUCCUGAUUUGUGUUCCUUUAAGGAUAGCACAACUAUUGGUGCAGGAUGUGUAUACAAGGAAGGCAGUCUGGGUUCACUGGCCAAGGGCAAACCACACGAGCACUGUGCAGGCAUAACACAUUUUAGUUUUUGCAGAGUACACUGGAGGGUGUGACCCUGGCUCUCUCCACAGUCCUGGACUCUUGGCGGGGCAGGCUCAGUGCCAUGUAUGUUGCCAGAGGAAAGUGAGCCAUCAAAAAAGCAGAAUUCCUGCCUAUGUAUUAAGCUAUGGGGUUCACCUCCCACAAUUCCAGAUGAGAGUAUGCCUAACAUUUAAAAAAUAAUUUUGCUGUGAUUGGAAUUGCUACACUUGGAAGUGGAAGCAGGGCCCCCAGCGUCCCCCUGGCUUCCCAGGCAGCUCCUCCAUGGGGCUGGCGGUUGUCAAUGUCUUUUCACACAAGCAGCUGCCUGCGUCUCUGUAAGGCAGGAAGGAAGCAGGAAGGACACACAGGUGAUCCGGGACACGCUGCAUUCUCUCCUCAGAGGCCUGCAGGACACAGGCAGCUCCUCUGGCAUCUGAGACCAGCAUUUCCUAAAGGUGAUGGUGAGAGGUGGAGACAGUGUUUUUCAUCUCAGCCACCUCCAGGUAACUGCAGCCCCUUUUGUAAGUCUCAGAGCAUGUUUUGUAAAUCUCAGAGCAUGUUCUGUAAGUCUCACAGCAUGUUCUGUAAGUCUCAGAGCAUGUUCUGUAAGUCUCAGAGCAUGUUUUGUAAGUCUCAGAGCAUGUUUUGUAAGUCUCACAGCAUGUUUUGUAAGUCUCAGAGCAUGUGAAUUCUGACCUGCAAAACCCUCCUUGCACCAUUUCCCCAGCCUAGAACACUCUCUUCCCCAAGUCCUCCUCUGGCUUUGAACAUAGCUCAGUUACUCCUCGGAUACUCCAGACCACAGCAAGUGCACAGUAAUCUCUCUGAAUGCCUGUGGCAUUCACUAACGGUAUUAUUCAUGUGGUGCAAGUAUGUGUUACCUGUUGUCUGUUACUAUUUGCAUCACAGCUCUCCGAGUAGACAGCACAUUUCUUCAGGGUAGGCAGUAUGACUUAUUUACCUUAUGUUCCAAUGUUUAGUACAGGAUUUAGUACACAGUAGGUGCUGAAUGAAUGUCUGUGGGUGCGAAUAACGAUGCUGCCAUUAUCUUGGUAUCAGGUAAGAAAAUUAAAGAAAUACUAACCUGCAAUGACAGCCGCAGUUUUUCAAAAUUUUCUUCCAAUUCUUUCUUUUCAAGCUCAUGAGUGGACAUCAAUUCUGGAAAGAGGACAUGAAACUGUUAAGUUGGUCUUCGUUUUGAAAAGGAUGAAACAAGGCUCUUUUGGCAGACUAAGACCCGUGACUUCAGGAUCACUCUUCCUUCCCACUGCAAAGCAGCCAUCUGUGGCUGAGGAAAGCAGUGGAGCUGCGAGCAGCCAUCCUGCCAGCCGGGCUCGCCAGCCAGGCUCAGUGCUGCGUCUACACGGACACCUCGGUAGCCUCUUGGCUGCCCUCUGAGAACCACACAUCCCUGGGAUUUGCUUCAGCAAAGAUUCGGUGUUAAGACAACUCAGAUGCAAGGAAGAACUAAUUGGACUGAUUCCUCUUAAGAGGGUCUGAAACAACUCUGUUCCGUGAAAACUGUCAUCCCAGCAAUACUUUGAGCCAACAGAAAAAAAUGCACCAGGAGGGAAAGACAGGAAAGGAGGAACAAUAAAGGAAGGGGGGCUCCACACACCUGCAGCAGGAAAGGCUCGGCUUGCACCACCCACCCCUGCCUGCUGCACACGAGGCUGGGAGCUACCUUGGACUUUGUGGUCGUGGUCAUCCUGCAGGAUUGUGAUGGCAACUGUGUGGUUAUUCUCCAUCUCUAGGAGAGCAGCCUCAUGGCUGGCGGUGAGAUCUUCCACCUGGAGGAGAGUCGCAGUUACCGGUUAGACAGAGAGCUGCUUGGAGAACAGAAGUGGAAUUCCGUGAGUGGAAAAGGUCCAUGACCUGAAACAUCAAUGACAAGUCACAGCCUCGUGCCGAAGCAGGCGAGUUGGACUUUGGUGGUGAUGUGGCAGCCCUCAGAGUCAAGAGGAGGUCACUGCCCCAACCUGGCUCUUUGCAGGAGGAUCCAACUCCAGGCAGGGGAUCACUGCCUGAGGUACCUCUUUAGAGUCCUGAGUGUGGCUCCUGGACCAUCCCCUUCCCACUCCUAGUCCAUCCCCUUCCCACUCCUAGUCCAUCCCCUUCCCACUCCUAGUCCAUCCCCUUGCACCGCUAUGAGCGAUGACGGCAAAGGAAAAGAAAUGGGUCCUCCCUACGGGGUGGUCUGUUUCCCAGAGGCAGGGGGAGCUAUAGUACACAAGGUAAACGGAGGCGAACGAAUACUUAUUAGGCUGCCCGAGAUACGUUACUCUACUUAACCCUCAGAGCCACCUUCUGAAGUAGAUCUUAUUAUGCCCAACUGACAGAUGUGGAAACUGAGGCUCAAAGAAAUUUGAAAUGUUUUGCCCAAGGGCUAACAAAUGGCAGAGCUAGCAGUGAGACCCAGGUCUGUCUGACUUCAAAGGUGAAGCUCUUUCGAAUGCACUAUUGGUUUGUGUUGACCUCCCCCAAGCAAGACCAGCAACGGACACCUUAGGAUUCUCUCACCAGUACCAGGUGAGGCUGGGAGGUCUGCGUGUCUGUUUUUAAACACAAGGUUGCCCCCCAGAUUAUAACUUGGACCUUCUGCUCAGGCAACGUGGUGCUCCUGGUAAGGGCUGCUGCUUCCCAGCUGCAGGAAUGCUUCUAGCAGUUUAAUCGCACGGAGUGCAGCCAGUCCAGUCCAGGAUUCUUCCUUUUCAUGUUUCCUGACCCCCUCCCCUACCCCCUCACCUUCCUGCCUACCAGGUUUACUGUUUUUGUUAUUGUUAUUGCGGCUGUUGUUUUAACUUCAAAUACAUGACUUGCAGGAGUAAUGGCCUAAAACGACCUCUCCCUAUCAUUGCAAAUCUCUCCUGGAUAUGCUACAACAGUGUUUAUCCAAGUUCUCUGUCAGUGAUCCACUGCAAAAAUCACCAUUGUACACAAUACCACAGCGCACACACCCACACACAACCACACCCAAAACCAAAGUUUCACAGAAACAAAACUCCGCCUUCCAUUUGGAAAAGUCUGGUUUAAAAAUGCUUCCUCUGUUUUACUUCGUUUUACAAAAGGCGAGUUAGUAGCCGCUACAUUUAUUUCACAAGCUACUCAUGUGUCAAAACUUGGCAUUUGAAAACCACUGAACUAGAAAAUGUGCGCUGGUCUUGAAGCCCCUUGGUGGCCCAGUUAAGAAGACAUUGCUUCUAGCUGGUCAUAUUCAGCCGCGUCUGAGGCUCCCACAUUUCUCUGGGGAGGAUUCACGGGCUGACCUUUGAUCUGAAUGGAGAAAGGGUUCUCCCCAAGAAAAGAAGCCUGCCUGUGAAGUUGACACAUGGGGAUAUAUCUGAUUUAAAAAGGGGUGGAUUCCCAUUCCGGAUACUAUUAUUUCAUCAAAAAAUUAUCCCGACUUCUCUUUCUUCUGGUAAACGAGAACUUCAUCCACUAAAACAAGUAUCACUGGGCAAAACCAACAGCGGACCCAUGGCAUUAGGAAAGCUGCGUCGCAGUGUGAGAAUGGACACGGUGCACAAUGACUCGCUCGCAUUUAAAGGCCAUUCUUGAUCAAACGGUAUUUACUCGAAGCUCAGAGCUAUGAACCCACCAGCAGAAAGGCUGAUUACAACAGUAUUUAAUUGUCCAAUUCCUGUUUACAGGAGGUUUUCAUGGAAUCUUUGUCCAAAACCUUUCAAUCUGUUGGAAAAAUAAAUCACUAGCUUAAAAAGGAAAUACCUCUUCUUUCUGCUCCAUUACGGAUGUCACUCAGGCCACAGCACACCGUAAAAACACAGCGCCCCCCCGCACCCUCCCUGCACCCCCCCCCCCCCCCGCCCCACACACACUGUUUGGAGGGCUGCCACACAGUUCAGGAGAGCAAAAAACCUUUCAUCGGUCCUUGGCGUGAUUCUCAUUUAUUGGGUGCUUACACAAAUGAUCAUGAGUGGUUUCAGAAAAGACAGACAGAUGGAAGAACUAAGUUUCAGAAGAGUCCUAUGAGUCCCAGGAGGUGGAUG